GACGUAGGGCGCGAGCGUUGUCCGGAUUUAUUGGGCGUAAAGAGCUCGUAGGCGGCUUGUCGCGUCGACUGUGAAAACCCGCGGCUCAACCGCGGGCCUGCAGUCGAUACGGGCAGGCUAGAGUUCGGUAGGGGAGUGUGGAAUUCCCGGUGUAGCGGUGAAAUGCGCAGAUAUCGGGAGGAACACCAGUAGCGAAGGCGACACUCUGGGCCGGUACUGACGCUGAGGAGCGAAAGCGUGGGGAGCAAACAGGG
rnacentral:rRNA from 1 species